AUAGUACUCCCUCCGUCCCAAAAUUAUUGUCUUAGAUUUGUCUAGAUACGGAUGUAUCUAAUACUAAAAUGUGACUUGAUACAUUCGUAUUUAGAUAAAUCUAAGACAAGAAUUUUGGGACGGAGGGAGUAUUAU
rnacentral:pre_miRNA from 1 species